GCCUCGGCCGCCUCAAGCCGCCUCAGACAGCAGCGGAUUUUCACUGCGCGGCCCAACGUGGAGUUUGCCACAGGACUUCUGUUGGAUAUUUUCCUGCCUAUGUUUUGGGCCACGGGCUUUAGGAAUAGUAUGCAGGUCCUCCUGGGCUGCUUGCAGAGUGGCACUGUCCAGGCAGUGAAUGCUGCACCUUGCGGUCUCUCUCACAGGCUCCGCUGCUGAGCGUUGCAUCAAAUGAAUGGAGUCCACCUCGGAUAAUUUCAGGGGAAAGCUGAGAAAAGCUCUCAUUGCAGUUUGAAAGCACAAAAAGGAGAAGAUAAUAGAACACCCAUAUCUGCACUAAAUCUUCAAGUAAAAGACAACUGUGUGGGACUGAAGAAGGGAAGACCCAGGCACCUCCCUCCCUGGUUCAGGAAGAGUUGAAAGCAGCUGCUUCUGCUGGGGUGCACGUUCACGCCACAGAGAGCAGCCGGAAGACAGCCUGCCUGGGGGCAUGUGUGCAAGUAUGGCAACUAAUCACACUCUGCACAUCAGAUGGUAAAAACGAAGGCAAAUUAAUCAUCACUUCACCUUGCCAGCAGAUCCCUGUCUGUCCUGAACUGAGGAGCCUAAAACUCGACACAGUAUUCCAGGUGUGGUCUCACUAGGACAGAGUUUAUCCUGGAGAUACAAGCCAAAACUGAAGAAUAGAGGCAUGUAAAAUGAACUGCUAUUGCUAGAGAGACACCAACUGUUAGGAAUUGAGUUGAACCUGCUGUUGUUAUUCCAUCCUGCCACAGUCACGCCAGCUUCAAAAAUUAAAGUGCUAACUGAAGCAAAGUAUUAUGGGGCUUGAAGUUCAGACUGCAACAUGGGAGGCUUCCUGUUCUGGUUGCUGCUUCUGGGUUCCAACUUUUUGGAUGUUGGCUCUUUUCCGCAGGCAUGGCAGCGGAAAGAGUGGCAGUUGGGUAGCUGCUGGAUUUUGGCUUUCUGUUUUAUGCUGGGCUUUUUUUUCCCCUCUGUAUUUCACUGCAUUUCUUCUGCAACUAGGCUAAACUAAGGUGAUCAUGCCUUGUAUUAUUAGAUUGACUGGAUUACUAGCUAGGGUAAUUCUGCACUGUGCUUAUGAUAUCUUAUGUUACAUUAAACUCUCAACUCUUUAUCUCA